rnacentral:lncRNA from 1 species
GUUGGUUUCUUUUUUAGGUUAGAAAGGGAAAUGCAGUCUGGGGAGAUAUUGAUGUUGUAUUGAAACUAUUUGACAAAGUCCUGUGCCAUGUUAUCCCAGACGUACCAGCAAGAUGUAUCUUGAUCCAAAAACCAUUCAGAUGCUACUCCCGAGAGGCUUUCCCCAAAAUAAGCUAUAAGUAAUUCUUCAUUUCUUCCCACACCUCUCAAUUGGUUGCAAUACCUUUUCAGGUGGGCUAUGGGGUCUCCAUGUCCAUUGUACUUUUCAAAUUUGGGAACCUUGAAAUCUGGCGGCAAGUGGACAUCGGGGAACAUGCAUAGAUCUCUGAAGGCAAUGCUCCUUUGACCUGUCAUUGCUUGCGUGUUUUUCAACCGUUGUUCUAACUUUUUCACUCUUUGGGUUAUUUUUUCUUGUACUCUCUUUCGGGCAGGCUUCUCGAUAUUUACAGGAAGCUCAAACGAGUACGAGUGGUACUCGGGAUAGUGGUAUUGUUCUUGUUGUGUAGCAAAUUGUGACUCGUGACAAGGUUGUCCUUGGUCAUUGGCCCAGGCUUGGCGCAUUUUAGUCAUUUGUUGUUUCAGUGUUCUAUUUUCCUCAACCACAGUAGACCCUUGUUGAACCCUCUGACCCUGAGUCUCUUGAGUACUCGUAACAGCUUCAAUGUCAGUUAUCAUUUUUCCUCAAAUCUUGUGUUUCCAGCUUACCACAAACCAACCACCUCAACUUUCUUCACAAUUCAAAACAAAACAUGUUAGAAUGGUUUGAGUCGGUCCUCAUUAUUAACAACAUCUUUUCCAUUUUUUCAUUCAAUUCUUCUUUUCCAUUUUUCUUUCAUUUUUUUUUUGGUUGCGAUCGAAUCUUAUGGAGAUUGCCUACGUAUCAUGACCCCUCAUGAAUCAGACCGUGCGUAGUUCUUGCAAAUAAAAGGUAAACGACAAUAAAAUAUUUUUUGGAAUUUUCCAUUUUCAUAAUAACAACAAAACUGACCAAUUUAAUGAUGAAAAUCAAAUGACCCAUAUACUCUAAUCAAAAGAAAUACAAACCCCAAAAAAUGACAGAUUUCUUUCCCUAUAUGCCAAUUUUGACCCAAAAUGUGAACGGUAUUUACUUGACCACUGACUCUUUUUCUUGUUUUUCCAAAUUAAAUUAAACGACCCGGUAUUGCAAACACGACCUUCCAGCGCCUCGGGGAUGAAGAGUUUAAAGCUGUGGGGGUCAGAAUCAAAAUAUGACCAAAGGUGGCUGUUUGCGCAAAGUCAACCUUCCGGCACCCCGUUUGGGAACAUGUGGCUAUUUUUAACAAAAACGGCAUCACCUGGUUUAUUUAUGACAAAAAUUAAAAUUUUGAUAUUUUUUGGGCUAUUUUUGUAAAGGGGAGGUUGGACCCGAUGAGGGUUGCCUACGUAUCUCAUGCCCUAUGAGAAUCAAACCAUGCGUAGUUCAGGCGAAUUAACCGAACAAUUUUAAAACAAGACUCUUUUUUAUUUUCAUUUUUCAUGGCAAGACAAACUAUUUUCCUUUUCUAUUUUUGAAAACAAGACAAAAUAACGACUUUUUUUUUAUUUUCAACAAACAAUAAAACAACCUAUUUUUCCAAACUAAAAUAAAGACUCUUUUCCAUUUUCUUUUUCAACAAACAACUGUCCGAAAAUAAAAGACUCUUUUUUCCUAUUUUCUUCUUUUUUCGUUUUCUCAAAAUUUCGGCAGAGUUUCAACAGUACUUAGUUUUUCUGUUAUUUCUCUCUUUUUUCGAUUUUUCAACAUUCCCGAGAUUCAGAAACUGGUCAACAUGCAGAUUCGAAAUAAAUAUAUGUACAGAGCAAGUAGGAUGCAUCAGGAUGGUCCUUUCAUUUUAGGUUGCUAGCCCUAGACGGACCCAACCCCUGUGUUGAGUCUCCUAAGUCAAAUGCAGCAUGAUGCAAAUAAUCGUUUCUACUAGGAAUCCGGCAUGAAGUCAUGUUAUUCUAUAUUCAAAACCUGGGUCGGUGUUCUAGACUGUGUACCCGAGCGAACGACUCGAGUCGAGGAGGAGGCAACUUUACGGGAACCAAAAGGCCAUCCAGCUUAGUAACUUGUCCGGCCUCUUUCUUAUUUCAAGGUAUGACACUAACAGAAUAGGGAGUCUCAACCAGUAAGCACAUCCCCGGAGGUGAAGAGAGAAGGGUGUCGGCACAGUUUAUAUACAGUUCAGAUAAUAUCGAAGCGGUAACAUUUAGCACAUUCAGCACAAAACAUAUAGGAAAAUCAGAUACAAUCAAAUACAACAAUUUAUCUAAGCUCGAAUUCUGAACCCUGAACCAGAGAUUCUGGGUUUGAUCCCCAACAGAGUCGCCAGAGCUGUCACACCUCCUUUGUCACUACUCCCGCAAGGGCGUAAAGGAGUUUUUUCAAUUAAAGGACAAUCGGAACGGGAUUUAAUUAUUAAGAAUUCAGAGUCGCCACUUGGGAGAUUAAUGGUGUCCCAAGUCACCGGUUGAAUCCCGAACCGAGGAAAAAUAUGACUCUGUUACAAUCUGCGAACCAGAAAUCUGAGUAAGGAAUUCUGUUAACCCAGGAGAAGGCGUUAGGCUUUCCCGGGU